rnacentral:rRNA from 1 species
GCUUAGAGAGGGGUCAAUGUCCUAUCAGCUAGUUGGUAGGGUAAUGGCCUACCAAGGCUAAGACGGGUAGCCGGCCUGAGAGGGUGGUCGGCCACACUGGGACUGAGACACUGCCCAGACUCCUACGGGAGGCUGCAGUCAAGAAUCUUUCGCAAUGCCCGAAAGGGUGACGAAGCGACGCCGCGUGUGGGAAGAAGGCCUUCGGGUUGUAAACCACUGUCGGGAGUUAAGAAAUGUAAGGGUGUUAAUAGCAUCCUUACUUGACUAAGGCUCCGGAGGAAGCCACGGCUAACUCUGUGCCAGCAGCCGCGGUAAUACAGAGGCGGCAAGCGUUGUUCGGAAUUAUUGGGCGUAAAGAGCACGUAGGCGGCCUUGUAAGUCAGUUGUGAAAGCCUUCUGCUUAACGGAAGAACAGCAUCUGAUACUGCAAGGCUAGAGUACGGAAGGG